AGCCACGCGAUGAGCACAAAGCGAACUAUUGUUUCGCCUUUUACUAAAGAAUACCGUGUUGCAAUUAGUGGUAUACGCUUAUUUUUGGAGGGGUUUUUUUUUACUGAGACGU